GACGGGGACCCGCACAAGCGGUGGAGCAUGUGGUUUAAUUCGAUGCUACGCGAAAAACCUUACCACUUUUUGACAUGAAGGUCGUAUCCCUCCUAACAGGGGGAGUCAGUUCGGCUGGACCUUACACAGGUGCUGCAUGGCUGUCGUCAGCUCGUGUCGUGAGAUGUUGGGUUAAGUCCCGCAACGAGCGCAACCCUCAUCCUUAGUUACCAACAGGUAAUGCUGGGCACUCUAAGGAAACUGCCAGUGAUAAACUGGAGGAAGGUGGGGAUGAUGUCAAGUCAGCACGGCCCUUAUAAGGUGGGCUACACACGUGCUACAAUGGCAACUACA
rnacentral:rRNA from 1 species